rnacentral:rRNA from 1 species
AGAGUUUGAUCCUGGCUCAGGACGAACGCUGGCGGCGUGCUUAACACAUGCAAGUCGAACGGAUCACUCCAGCUUGCUGGGGUGGUGAGUGGCGAACGGGUGAGUAAUACGUGAGCAACCUGCCCUCCUCUCUGGGAUAAGCCUUGGAAACGGGGUCUAAUACCGGAUAUUCACUGUCUCCUGCAUGGGGGGUGGUGGAAAGCUUUUGCGGUGGGGGAUGGGCUCACGGCCUAUCAGCUUGUUGGUGGGGUGAUGGCCUACCAAGGCGAUGACGGGUAGCCGGCCUGAGAGGGCGACCGGCCACACUGGGACUGAGACACGGCCCAGACUCCUACGGGGGGCAGCAGUGGGGAAUAUUGCACAAUGGGCGAAAGCCUGAUGCAGCGACGCCGCGUGCGGGAUGACGGCCUUCGGGUUGUAAACCGCUUUCGGCAGGGAAGAAGCCGUGAGGUGACGGUACCUGCAGAAGAAGCGCCGGCUAACUACGUGCCAGCAGCCGCGGUAAUACGUAGGGCGCAAGCGUUGUCCGGAAUUAUUGGGCGUAAAGAGCUCGUAGGCGGUUCGUCGCGUCUGCUGUGAAAUCCUCAGGCUCAACCUGGGGCGUGCAGUGGGUACGGGCGGACUGGAGUGCGGUAGGGGUGACUGGAAUUCCUGGUGUAGCGGUGGAAUGCGCAGAUAUCAGGAGGAACACCGAUGGCGAAGGCAGGUCACUGGGCCGCAACUGACGCUGAGGAGCGAAAGCAUGGGGAGCAAACAGGAUUAGAUACCCUGGUAGUC